GCCGAUAAGAGGGUUGUAGCCCACCCAGUAAGACCACCUGGUCUUAAUAGAUGCUAGCAGUCAGCCGUUGUCUGACACACUCUUUCCAUAACCUAACCCUGUUCCAGGGAGUGAGAUUUCCAAAGAUUCUACUGGCCAUGUAUUUGUUAAGGUAUGGUGCAUUACAGGGGCUAAGUCUGACAAUCAUUCCACCCCUUGAACUGCAGCAGCUAAAUCUGACAGGGAAGGUGAAGCAGAACCUCUGUAAAACUGUUUUUAUGAUGUUUAGUAUCAGUCAUCUUUUCUGAUGAUGAAUGCAUGACCAAUGCUUUGAAGAUGAAAAGGUCUACAAAAAUACAAGCUACUAUUUUAUCUGGAAAUGUGUUUUGUGGCAUCUCAAAGAGUAUUUACAUUUCUUAUUCCCUUUUUUUAUGCAUGUAGAGGAGUUCUCAUGAAUUUUCAGCAGUGAGUCAUUGUUAUUGUGAGAAGAAGGCUUCCAUUCUAUCAUGAAGAAAGGCUGCAUGGAAAGUACAGAAAGCUGAUGAGAAAUAAGUGUGAAAAGUUCAAAAAAGUAGUAGCUGCUUUACAAAAAUACUUUUUAAAGCCCUGCUGUUUUUAUGAUAAACAGAUCUCCUGAGGAAGGUAUUCAUUAUCUCCAGUACCAUCGUUUAAACAGAAAUCAAUUGCUGUCAUGACUUGACUGAAUGGAUCACCUGUUCUGCUAGGAAGAAAGGAAGGCACCAGUUGCCUUGUAGCCAAAGGAGCUGCUCUACAGGCUGCAGAUGGAGUAGUGGAAUAGAAGCAUGAAGGGCUGGGUAAGCAUUGGCCUCCAGAAGAAAAGGAUGCCCCAUGGUAGAGGUGCUGUCCUUCAUUCUCAGGAAUGAACCACCCGAUUAAAGCUCAUCUGAGGAAGAGCUGAGAUUUACUUAUGCAGCUACACAUAACAGUUUAUAUCACAAAUUUUCCAUCAAAAAUGGUGAUGGCCUUGUGUGGGAAUGCCUGGCUUCAUGGAGUUUUUCAGCACAUUAAGUUCCAGUACAAUUCAUUCUGAAGCUCAGAUGGCCUUAAGGAUACACUUUAAGAUACAUUUUCAUUAUCAGUUUUGCUGGAGCCUUUUCUUUCUAAGGACUCAGUUUUUGGAGGGCAGUGAAGAUCAGAAGUUGAAGCUCUUCUCCCAUCUUCUAAUCAAGCUGCUUCAGGGGCAGUGGAGUUUUCUAUUUGAUGGCAGACGACAACAACCAGUUUACAUCAACCUGGCUUUAGAAGAAGUACAAAUAAGAGCUCUGAAUUGGGAUGACAUAGUCUAUGAACCAUGUUUGAAUCUGAAAACUACGCUUGAUUUCUGUAAGCACAGAUACAACAUCAGUACAUCUCCAUGCUGGUUUGAUCUGAUAAAAAUCAAAGCAGCUUAAAACGAGGGAUUAUUUCAUCAACUCCUGAAACGCAAAACCCUGUAUGUCAAGAAAGAAAGGCAGUCUUGUGACUGAAGCUUGGACCUAAAGGACAAACUCUCUCCAAGUAUGAUUUCAUUCAGCUAGUAAAAGUAAGAGCUGCAUUAAAAAAAACAAACCAACAACAAAGAGAUUAGUCUUUGGAAGACAGGAACCCAAAUGCUUUGAAGCAUCAAUGAGAGGAGCAGCACCUUAUCAUUGUGAUAAGAUGCUGGCAGCAGCAUUUAGUCAAAGGCUGUGCUUUGGUCGAAGUACCUCCUGUCAACAGUGUGUCUCACAGCUGUAUGCGGUUUCUCUGCAGAAGAGUCAUGCUGUCAUUUAUGUAGUUGACUUGGAGGGGAAAGAGUCAGAUACCGGAGGAGAAUGUCUUCAAUAAGUUGGGGGGACUGCACACAGGGAAGCAGGGAUUGGGAAAAAAUAGAGAAGAAAUCAAGGGACAUUCAAAGCAGUAAUAAAAUGGACAUCAGUCACAAUCCAGUUCAAGAUCUGAAAAGCUCUUCUCUCUUCAGUGUUCUCUAACGACAGAAAACCCAACUAAUCAACUUUUGUAAGACAUUAUGCAAACA